AGGCAGCGAACACAUUUCAAACAAGUAAACUUGAUUCAGGUGUCUUCCUUACCUACUGAAGUGUCAGUGAAGCUGUAACAGCUCAUUCUACUUGUGAAAAUUUAAACUGCAGCACAAAAUCUGAACGUGCUUUGAUAAAGGCUUGAAAAGUCCCUUAGGAGGCAGGCUCUGCCAGAAGGAAUUUGCCUACGUCCAGCAAGUUGGGUGAAGAUUAAAGACCUGGAAAAACAUCCUUUGUGACUGAAUUCUGCAAGGGGCCCUAAUCUCAAUCCCUGGUCUGUAAAAUCACUAGGCUACAGUGCUGCUGCUGCUGUUUGUGAAGCCAGAGCCCUGUCAUGCACACUUUCUUGGAGCCAGGCACCUGAAACCAUAGAAACUGGAGUCAGUGGUGCUUCAUUCCCCACAUCUAAGACUGAUACUGUGCUGCAUCUGCAUUAAGUAACUUCAUGUGGUGAGCCUGUUGGUUCAAAUGCUGCUGACACUUGCCUGUCCCUGUCAGAAGAUAGUUUUUGCCAGGCCUGAGGCCUUCAUGAUAUUAGUUCUUAUGGUGAGUGGGGUAUCAGCCAGCCUCCCAAGAUCCCUUCCUGCUCUUUUGGUUUACAGCCCCCUGGCAGGAAGGAGGGGGCUUUGGUUCAGUUUGUUGCUUCCAGAGAAGACGCCCUAGGCUUUUCCAUAUCAGUUGGCCUCUUUCAACAUCAGACAAGCAGAAUAUUACAAGGUUGGUGCAGGUAGAGCAAAAAGUCCAGUUCUUGAAUGCUGAACUAUAAAUGAGGUGGCAGAAGGGAAAGGGAAAGCAAGAGCUCAGAUUACAACUUCUCUUGUACUUGGGGGGCCCUCUUUGGGAACUGGGGAAGGAUGCAGCUGAACUCUGUGAGGCUGAGACCUCCCACCUGCCUUCUCCCACAACUACUUAAAUCUAGUCCUACGGCUUUUAUAUUCUUAAACCAGCAUCUCCCCUAAAUUCCCUUUCUCCUGCUUUUGUUCCUAAUCUGUAUUUUAACACUUGCAUUCAUAUGUAGAGGUGAGGAAUAGGGCUCUUCCCACUUCCUGGGCUUUCUUGGCUUUUAGGCUUGUAUCCCAUUCUUUUCACUAGUGCUUUCCCACUAACUCGAAUGCCCUCCCUGCUGGUCGCAGCCUUUCCAGAAGUGAUACAAAGUACUCUGUUUCCAAAGUUUUCCAAAGUAUUCUGAUUUGUGGAACUCCUAAUUUGUUUCCGGUUAAAUUGUGGAUACCUCUAUAGAAAAAAAUCCCUCUAAAUCAUAAAAAGUAUAAACUGUGCAGCAGUUCUGGUAAUUGUGUCUCUGGUAUGCUCUGUGCUUAUCCUGUGACAUAAAAAUACAAAUUGGGUAUUUAGGGUGCUGUCUCCAAGCCACUUUUUCCUUCCCUUUCUCACUAUCCCUCCCCUCUUUGCACAUACCUGUUAGGGGUUUUGGUGCCACAGCAGGCAGCCAAAUGUUAACAAGCUCUGGCUUACAACAGUCCUGCCACCAGGGGUUAACUGAAUGUAGUGGUUCAGGUCAAAUCCAUUGUACAUCUGGUCUGCUCAUACUUUUUGAAAUACUGAUAUUUUUUGUUUGUUUUCUCAAUACUGACCGAAGGAUGGUAAGUGUUAGCCUUAUAUAAACUAGAGUUUAUAAGAGAGAGAACUGAGAUACAUGGAGCUCGCUAGUUUCCAGGAGGGAGACUAAUCCAGGAUAAUUCUUACUAUUAGGAGAUGAUUAGUCAUACUUGUUUUUAAACUAUAUAAUGGUAAUAGAUUUCCAUUUACCAUCCUAGGUGGCCCAGGACUUCCUGCUGCUGCCUAACCAUCAGGUUUUGGUUGUUUGUUUUUUUUUUAAAGAGAAAAGAAGGAACAAAAUACUUGAUCCAUGAUGGUUAUAGUAGGGCUAGACAUGUUAUCCCAGCUGGUGUGGCACGCACACCCAGGAAUGACAAGAAAUUCAGCUCAGUUCAGCUGCAGAUGAAUGCUUGUAACUUUCCAUGGAAACGACUGGAUUGAUGCUCUACCUUUGGCUACAGGUAAUUGCUUUGCCUCAUGCAAUUAUGUGGGGUAAUUAAAAGCAGAUUUUACAAGGAAUAGGAAAAACCAUCAGUACAUCAUCCACAUUUGUGGUCUGUUCAUUUAAGAGUGAUUAUGAUUCUUUUUACUUUUAGCCUAGCCCCUCUCUUGCUUUCUACCCAGCUGAUCAGUACGGCAUAGGAAGGGAAAAUGAAAGUACACUUUCAGGACAUUACCGAGUUCUGCUCAUUUUUACAACAUGCUAUCUAGUAUAAGCCCUAUUGGAAUAGCAGUGGAAAAGCAGAAUAAUUCAAGGACUCUAAAAUUCACAUUUUCUUCCAGCCUGAUAUCGUGAGGGACUACUAACACACAGGCAGACCUCUGGAAUAGAUGUAGCUCAGUAAAUGACAAACACAUUCUCGUUAGCUCAGAAUAUAUGAAGGCAGUUUUCUUGUGCUCUCUUUUCAAUAUUUUUUUUAUUCUACACAAAGUGGUACACUUUUGAAAGGUGAAAAGUGGCAAGGUAGUGGACAGUUUCUCUAAUAAAGGUUUAUGAACUUCCCACCGAUCCAUUACUUGAGAAGUGCUAUCGUGCUGCUAUGCUUAAUGAAAGAUCAGUCAAGUAAAUUGUUCCUGGGAUUCAACUUAAUUACAUGCAAGAGAUGGAAACUUUUUUAUAAAGGACUAAUAAAAUACCAGUACCAGAUGGCUUUAAUGAAGUCAGUAAGGUGGUAGUUUUAAACUGAAACCUGCUUGCUUAAUAUAGUAGAAAAGAGUAAAUUUGAGCAAAAUGCUUUAUAAGCAGCAUGACACUUCUCCACUGCAAGGCAAGAGGCACGUUUUUUUAAGCUGCAUUAGCGAGAACUGUUAAGUUCAUUGUCAGUGUUUUAUCCUCUAAGCCUCAGACUGAAGGGCCUAUAGCUAGAGGAGAUAUUGAAAAAUUCUUUUAGUCUGAAGCUCAGCAUAUGAUGACUACGGCGAUUUUUCUUAAUGCUUGCAAAGCCACUUAUCCAGAUAUGUAAUUGAAAUCAGGACGUGCCUUGGAAUGACAUGGCUGUGACUGAUAUUAAAUUUUGAAACAUUAAAUAAGGUCUAGAACUUUAAGUGUCUUUAAUGUUGACCCAUUUUAUAAUCAUUUGGAUGUUUUCCCAUUAUAAAAUACCUGUUUUGGAUUCAUUGUUAUGCUGAGAAUAACUUGCUUUCCUCACCAGUCCUGCAGAUUUUUUCUGUGGUACUGUAAAAUCAAUGAGAGUAUUCCAUUUGUGUUUACAAAUACUGCAAACUGGUAGAUUGUUCAAGGCACUUGUGCAUAUUUCCAUUAAAAAAUAAUUAUGAAAAAGCAUUUUUUAAAAAGUGCAUAUUUUCAUUAACAGCAUCCUGCAGGAUUACUGACCUGAGGGGGAACAGUUUUUGCUCCGCAGGUGCUUUUGGGGGCCAAGGAGGGCAGUGGGCUAUCAGGUGGGGC